AACGAACGCAGGCGGCGUGGAUUAGGCAUGCAAGUCGAGCGAGAAGUUACUAAUGGAUCCUUCGGGUGAAGCUAGUAACAGAAAGCGGCGAACGGGUGAGGAAUACUUGAGUAAUCUGCCUUAAAGACCGGAAUAGCCAUUCGAAAGGAUGAUUAAUGCCGGAUGUGGUCGCCCUGCGCAUGCAGGGUUGUCUAAACGUGGGGAUCCUUCGGGACCUGCGGCUUUAAGAUGGGCUCAAGUUCUAUCAGCUUGUUGGUGAGGUAAAGGCUCACCAAGGCUAAGACGGAUAGCUGGUCUGAGAGGAUGGUCAGCCACACUGGGACUGAGACACUGCCCAG
rnacentral:rRNA from 1 species